GGAGAACAGAGCCUUGACCAGAACUCAAAUACCAGAAGGCCACAGGGGACACCCAGGAGCUGAGACGGCUGCAGAUCUGUCACCUGGUCAGGUACUGGCUGACGCGACACCCGGAGGUGAUGCACCAGGAUCCCCAGCUGGAAGAAGUCAUAGGUCGUUUCUGGGCCACCGUGGCCCAGGAGGGCAACUCAGCCCAGAGAAGACUGGGAGACUCUUCUAACCUCCUGAGCCCUGGUGGCCCUGGCCCCCCACUCCCAAUGAGCAGCCCAGGCCUGGGCAAAAAGCGCAAAGUGUCCUUGCUUUUCGACCACCUGGAGACGGGGGAGCUGGCUCAGCACCUCACCUACCUGGAGUUCCGGUCCUUCCAGGCUAUCACGCCCCAGGACCUGCGGAGCUACGUUUUGCAGGGCUCAGUACGAGGCUGCCCGGCCCUGGAGGGCUCCGUAGGUCUCAGCAACAGCGUGUCCCGCUGGGUGCAGGUGAUGGUGCUGAGCCGUCCCGGGCCCCUACAGCGCGCACAGGUGCUGGACAAGUUCAUUCACGUGGCACAGAGGCUCCGCCAGCUGCAGAAUUUCAACACGCUGAUGGCAGUCACAGGGGGCCUGUGUCACAGUGCCAUCUCCAGACUCAAGGACUCCCAUGCCCACCUGAGCCCUGACAGCACCAAGGCCCUCCUGGAGCUCACUGAGCUCCUUGCCUCCCACAACAACUAUGCCCGCUACCGCCGCACCUGGGCUGGCUGCGCGGGCUUCCGGCUGCCUGUACUGGGCGUGCACCUCAAGGACCUGGUGUCCCUGCAUGAGGCACAGCCCGACAGGUUGCCUGACGGCCGCCUGCACCUACCCAAGCUGAACAACCUCUACCUGCGGCUGCAGGAGCUGGUGGCCCUCCAAGGGCAGCAUCCACCCUGCAGCGCCAAUGAGGAUCUGCUGCACCUGCUCACGCUCUCCCUGGACCUCUUCUACACGGAAGACGAGAUCUAUGAGCUUUCUUAUGCCCGGGAGCCGCGUUGUCCCAAGAGUCUGCCACCGUCCCCCUUCAAUGCACCUCUGGUGGUGGAGUGGGCCCCUGGUGUGACACCCAAGCCGGACAGGGUCACACUGGGUCGGCAUGUGGAGCAGCUGGUGGAGUCCGUGUUCAAGAAUUAUGACCCUGAAGGCCGAGGAACAAUCUCUCAGGAGGACUUUGAGCGACUCUCGGGCAAUUUUCCCUUCGCCUGCCAUGGGCUUCACCCACCCCCACGCCAGGGGAGAGGAUCCUUCAGCAGAGAGGAGCUGACAGGGUACCUGCUCCGGGCCAGCGCCAUCUGCUCCAAGUUGGGCCUGGCCUUCCUGCACACCUUCCAUGAGGUCACCUUCCGAAAGCCUACCUUCUGCGACAGCUGCAGUGGCUUCCUCUGGGGUGUCACCAAGCAAGGCUACCGUUGUCGGGAGUGCGGGCUGUGUUGCCACAAACACUGCAGAGACCAGGUGAAGGUAGAAUGUAAGAAGAGGCCAGGGGCCAAGGGCGAUGCAGGACCCCCCGGAGCUCCUGUCCCAUCCACACCAGCUCCCCAUGCCAGCUGUGGCUCCGAGGAAAAUCACUCCUACACGCUAUCCCUGGAACCUGAGACUGGGUGCCAGCUUCGCCAUGCCUGGACCCAGACUGAAUCCCCACACCCUUCCUAGGAAACAGAUACGGUCCCCUGCCCGGUGAUGGACCCACCAUCAACUGCAUCCUCCAAGCUGGAUUCCUAGACAUCUCUUGGUCUCCUCUCUUCCUCCCUCCCUUCCCCCAGUCAGUCCUGAGUCCUGUCGUCAGACUCUGGCAGGGCUCCCAGAGGAGCAUCAACUCCAGGAGAACAGGGAUUUCUAUCAAUGUCAUUCACUGCUGCAUCCCCAUUGCCUAGAACAGGGCUGGCAGGUGGUAGGCGCCUGACAGAUGCUUGUCUGAUGCCUGAAUGUCUCCUUACCUAUGCCCAUGGCGCAGGAUAGAUGUGCUAUAGGGCAAAGAACUUUGAGGGUCGAGCAGCAGGGGCCCAUUCAGUCCCAGGGAGCAGAGACCCCCCCCCCCUUCACAAACCCUAACACCCCUGACUUGGCCCCCACAGAGAGAGGUCCUACAGCUGUCUUAAAUUAAAU